rnacentral:lncRNA from 1 species
UUGUUGUUAUGAAAGAGGCGUGUUUUCUAGUUCAUAGUGAAGAUUAGUCCCUUGUCCCAAGCUUAAAAUGGGAGUUUGGAGCUCAGAGUAUGGGGUCGGGGUUCGCAGUUGAUCGGAACCCAGUUCCUAAGAAAAACCAAACGUUGAGUCGGUACCGUAUGCAUAUAGAGUUAAGUUGUGAGUCCGGUUCAGAGUGUGAACC